rnacentral:rRNA from 1 species
GUUUCCAGAGAUGGAUUCCUUCAGUUCGGCUGGCGGGAACACAGGUGCUGCAUGGCUGUCGUCAGCUCGUGUCGUGAGAUGUUGGGUUAAGUCCCGCAACGAGCGCAACCCUCGCCCUUAGUUGCCAUCAUUCAGUUGGGCACUCUAGGGGGACUGCCGGUGAUAAGCCGAGAGGAAGGUGGGGAUGACGUCAAGUCCUCAUGGCCCUUACGGGCUGGGCUACACACGUGCUACAAUGGCGGUGACAGUGGGAUGCAAAAGGGCGACCUCUAGCAAAUCUCAAAAAGCCGUCUCAGUUCGGAUUGCACUCUGCAACUCGAGUGCAUGAAGGUGGAAUCGCUAGUAAUCGUAGAUCAGAACGCUACGGUGAAUACGUUCCCGGGCCUUGUACACACCGCCCGUCACACCAUGGGAGUUGGUUCUACCCGAAGGCGUUUGCUAACCGCAAGGGGGCAGACGACCACGGUAGGGUCAGCGACUGGGGUGAAGUCGUAACAAGGUAGCCGUAGGGGAACCUGCGGCUGGAUCACCUCCUUUC